AUUGAACGCUGGCGGCAUGCUUUACACAUGCAAGUCGAACGGUAACAGGGAGCUUGCUCCGCUGACGAGUGGCGAACGGGUGAGUAAUAUAUCGGAACGUACCCAGAAGUGGGGGAUAACGUAGCGAAAGUUACGCUAAUACCGCAUACGAUCCACGGAUGAAAGCAGGGGUCCUUCGGGCCUUAUGCUUUUGGAGCGGCCGAUAUCUGAUUAGCUAGUUGGUGAGGUAAAGGCUCACCAAGGCGACGAUCAGUAGAUGGUCUGAGAGGACGACUAGCCACACUGGAACUGAGACACGGUACGGACUCCUACGGGAGGCAGCAGUGGGGAAUUUUGGACAAUGGGCGCAAGCCUGGUCCAGCAAUGCCGCGUGAGUGAAGAAGGCCUUCGGGUUGUAAAGCUCUUUUGUCAGGGAAGAAACGGUAGAGGCUAAUAUCCUUUGCUGAUGACGGUACCUGAAGAAUAAGCACCGGCUAACUACGUGCCAGCCGCCGCCGUAACAC
rnacentral:rRNA from 1 species